UACGGGGGGGGUAAGCGUUGUUCGGAAUUACUGGGCGUAAAGGGCGCGUAGGCGGCCAACUAAGUCGGACGUGAAAUCCCUCAGCUUAACUGGGGAACUGCGUCCGAUACUGGAUGGCUUGGAUUUGGGAGAGGGAUGCGGAAUUCCAGGUGUAGCGGUGAAAUGCGUAGAUAUCUGGAGGAACACCGGUGGCGAAGGCGGCAUCCUGGACCAAUAUUGACGCUGAGGAGCGAAAGCCAGGGGAGCAAACGGG
rnacentral:rRNA from 1 species